UACGGAGGGUGCAAGCGUUGUCCGGAAUCACUGGGCGUAAGGGCGCGUAGGCGGCUCAUGAAGGCUGUGGUGAAAGUCCGGGGCUCAACCUCGGAUCGGCCGUGGCGACUCGUGGGCUGGAGCACUGUAGAGGCGGGUGGAAUUCCGGGUGUAGCGGUGGAAUGCGUAGAGAUCCGGAAGAACACCAGUGGCGAAGGCGGCCCGCUGGGCAGUGGCUGACGCUGAGGCGCGACAGCGUGGGGAGCAAACAGG
rnacentral:rRNA from 1 species